UUGAACGCUGGCGGAAUGCUUUACACAUGCAAGUCGAACGGCAGCACGGGGGCAACCCUGGUGGCGAGUGGCGAACGGGUGAGUAAUACAUCGGAACGUGCCCAGUCGUGGGGGAUAACUACGCGAAAGCGUAGCUAAUACCGCAUACGAUCUAUGGAUGAAAGCGGGGGACCGUAAGGCCUCGCGCGAUUGGAGCGGCCGAUGGCAGAUUAGGUAGUUGGUGGGGUAAAGGCCUACCAAGCCUGCGAUCUGUAGCUGGUCUGAGAGGACGACCAGCCACACUGGGACUGAGACACGGCCCAGACUCCUACGGGAGGCAGCAGUGGGGAAUUUUGGACAAUGGGCGAAAGCCUGAUCCAGCCAUUCCGCGUGCAGGAUGAAGGCCCUCGGGUUGUAAACUGCUUUUGUACGGAACGAAAAGGUCUGCCCUAAUACGGCGGGCUCAUGACGGUACCGUAAGAAUAAGCACCGGCUAACUACGU
rnacentral:rRNA from 1 species